rnacentral:rRNA from 1 species
GACGAACGCUGGCGGCGUGCUUAACACAUGCAAGUCGAACGGAAAGGCCCUGCUUUUGUGGGGUGCUCGAGCGGCGAACGGGUGAGUAACACGUGAGUAACCUGCCCUUGACUUUGGGAUAACUUCAGGAAACUGGGGCUAAUACCGGAUAGGAGCUCCUGCUGCAUGGUGGGGGUUGGAAAGUUUCGGCGGUUGGGGAUGGACUCGCGGCUUAUCAGCUUGUUGGUGGGGUAGUGGCUUACCAAGGCUUUGACGGGUAGCCGGCCCGAGAGGGUGACCGGCCACAUUGGGACUGAGAUACGGCCCAGACUCCUACGGGAGGCAGCAGUGGGGAAUAUUGCACAAUGGGCGGAAGCCUGAUGCAGCAACGCCGCGUGCGGGAUGACGGCCUUCGGGUUGUAAACCGCUUUCGCCUGUGACGAAGCGUGAGUGACGGUAAUGGGUAAAGAAGCACCGGCUAACUACGUG